rnacentral:lncRNA from 1 species
CUGGGUGAUGAAUCAAAGUGGCAGCGAAGCCUGAGAGCACACAGCCCACCAGGAAGAAACCACACCUCCAGGUCGGCCAGGCCGGCGUCCGCGUGGAUCGAAAGUGACCCGGAGCCAAGGUCAGUGGGCCACAUCCAAGUCCUCCCAGAGGGAAACAAGGCUCUGACUGCGGCGCCCAGCGAGGCCUCCAGCAUCGCUCCAGACACCAGGCAGGUCCAGUGCCCAGCUAGCCCAGUCACCAACUGAUAAAAUGAUGGCUCCGAAACUCCCCGCUGACAUGUUUUCCUGCAGAUGGUUCGAGGGAGGACAUGGAGGCAGCCACCUAGCUCAGCGCA